AGCAGCCGCGGUAAUUCCAGCUCCAAUAGCGUAUAUUAAAGUUGUUGCAGUUAAAAAGCUCGUAGUUGAAUUUCGGGAUCAAUAUAUCGGUCGUGCCUCCGGUAUGCACUGGUAUUAUUGAUUUCUACCUUCUGACGAACUGUGAUGUCAUUAAUUUGGUGUCAUGGGGAAUCAGGACUGUUACUUUGAAAAAUUAGAGUGUUUAAAGCAGGCACACGCUUGAAUACAUUAGCAUGGAAUAAUGAAAUAGGACGUUUGACCCUAUUUUGUUGGUUUCUAGGAUCGACGUAAUGAUUAAUAGGGAUAGUUGGGGCAUUAGUAUUCAAUUGUCAGAGGUGAAAUUCUUGGAUUUAUUGAAGACUAACUACUGCGAAAGCAUUUGCCAAGGAUGUUUUCAUUAAUCAAGAACGAAAGUUAGGGGAUCGAAGACGAUCAGAUACCGUCGUAGUC
rnacentral:rRNA from 1 species